CCUACAUACUGUGUCUGCCUCAUCAUUAGUCUGGGUAGUUCUAAAACCUUGGGUCUUACCUAGCGACUGGAUCCUUUUCUUGGUUUGGAAGGAGGAAGACCAUGAAAGCAAACCACCACAAUUGAGAGCCACUGAAAAUGAAGUUGACAGAGCCAAGAACUGAGUAACAGCUGGGGAAACAAAAGAAAAGACAGUCGGUGAGUGGAGCCUCAAAAACAACCGGAUGACACACGCAAGCAAUUUGAGACAGGAAAUGCAUGCUAUGAAGCGAUGCUGUGGGAUGUUCUUUAAAUCAAGAGAGCUUUCCAUGACUGAAUUUCACAUAUAAUUGUUUGUCUGCUCUGGAAAAGGCAGACAGCACUGUCUGGUGAUCACAGUAUGUCUGUAAGUGUUGUUACAGCUCAUUGUCUGCCAUGACUCAAUGAUAAAGCAA